GAUGAACGCUGGCGGCGUGCCUAAUACAUGCAAGUCGAGCGAACGGACGAGAAGUUUGCUUGGCUGUUGUUAGCGGCGGAGGGGAGAGUAACAUGUGUAUAACCUACCUAUAAGACUGGGAUAACUACGGGAAACCGGCGCUAAUAGCGGAGAAUAUUUUGCACCACAUGGUUCAAAAGUGAGAUACGGUCUUUGUGGCACUAAUAGAGGGAUCCGCGCUGCAUUAGCUAGUUGUUAAGGUAACGGCUUACCAAGGCAAGGAUGCAUAGCCGACCUGAGAGAGUGAUCGGCCACCCUGGAACUGAGACACGGUCAAGACUCCUACGGGAGGCAGCAGUAGGGAAUCUUCCGCAAUGGGCGAAAGCCUGACGGAGCAACGCCGCGUCAGUGAUGAAGGUGUUCGGAUCGUAAAGCUCUGUUAUUAGGGAAGAACAUAUGUGUAAGUAGCUGUGCACAUCUUGACGGUACCUAAUCAGGAAGCCACGGCUAACUACGUG
rnacentral:rRNA from 1 species